ACGGAAUGAAUGCACCUUGCAGCUACAACAAUUGUCUUACCUCUGAAAUGGGGUAAUUCAAAUUUGCCAAACGGCCAGGACUCAAGCAUUUCGCUCGGCAUUCAUGUUUUUCCUUUGAAAAGAUUAAAUUCUCGUUAGGCUGGUUUAGAUGAAGGUAUUGAAGUGUCAAGGAAUGGACCUCAUUCUUUUGACAUUUGAAUACCAUCAUUUAAUCCCAGCUUAAUAAGAAUUUAAUCUUUUGAAUGGAACAUUGGGAAUGUCGGACGAAAUGCUUGAGUCAUGUUGUUUGACCAGUUUGAAUUUACCCUAUUCAAAGAUAAGACAAUUGUUGUAGUUGGAAUGCACAUUUCAACUA
rnacentral:pre_miRNA from 1 species